rnacentral:misc_RNA from 1 species
GAACGCACCUUGCGCUUCCUGGUAUUCCGGGGAGCAUGCCCGUUUCAGAAUCAUUAAAAUCUCACAAACUGUUAUGUCAUUGCACUUAUAGUAUUGUGGAUUUGGAUGCUUUGCCUCAGGCAAUCACCAGAAAAAGAUUGUAUGUGCGCCAAUAGGACAAAAUUGGUUAUCAAAAGUGCAACAGAGGAAACUCCAUUCGCUUUUGGCAAUUUAUUUUGAUACUGAUGGAACAUGUGCUCCAACUAUCAACAAGUGUCAAACUAUUUUGGUUUGCUGCUUGAUAACUUGGUCUGAAAUCGGGCAAGAAAACCCGCUGAACUUAAG